UCUGGUUGUCCCACCUAUACAGACAUGACAGAAUACAGACCAUGGUCCCACACCAACCAUCACGUAUUUUAUUAGACAUGUAGAAGUGAUAUGACUGCCUCUGUGCUUUGGCUUGAUGAAACAGGUCCUAUUUCUUGCUUUAUUUGUCUUCUACACUAAGAGCUGAGAGCUUCUCCUUGCAAAUUAUUCUGCUCCUCUGUCUAUUCAAGCCUUUGGUAUUUAACACAUGUUUAUGUGUAUGUAUGUAAAUCAAUGUGGAGACCAGAGAUUGAUGUCAGAUGUGUUCCUCAAUCACUUCCCAUGUUAUUUUUUUUGAGGUAGGGUCUCUCACUGAACUAGGAGCUCACUGAUUCUUCUACAGUUAGUUAGCCAGCAAGACCCAGGAUCUCCCUGGCUCCAUCUUUCCCAGUGUUGAGAUUACUGGCAUGCACUGCCUACACAUCACUCAUACGUGGAUGCUGGGCAUCAGACUCAGAUCACAUGUGUUUUACUGACUGGGCCACCUCCUCAACACCAACAUGUACCACAUUUUUCCCUUAUAAACCGUCUUUUUCUUCCAGUGGAAUUUCAAACUCUGAAGACAGGACACAUGCAUUAUUUCCUUUUUUAGACCUUAAACCUUAAAGGGCAGUGAUUCCUGAAGGACUAACAAAAGGUAAAUCAUUCACCUCCUUGGCUAACCCAUCUGACUCCAGAGAACCGAAAUUAGAGUCAAAACAAGCAAAGAAGUGGAGCAGAAGUCACGCCAUUAGUGAACCGCCCAGGAGUGAAUGAUUGGUAGAGAUCAGGCGGAGUGGGAUUACUGAAGUCAAAGCGAUGAGGGUUUUCUGAUUGGGAAGCGAGAGCCUCAGUCCUUGGCUGCUUUCUAUGUUUUCUGUUAUUAAUGAUUGUGGUCCAGUUGGUCCUCCAAUUCUCUGCUUAUGUUCGAUCCAGCACCAAGGAAAGACGGAAGGAAGGACUCCAUCCAACCCAGCUUGUCGGACCAACGUGUCUGCCGGGUUUAUUUACACAAAUACGGUGGCUGCUUACAAGAAUGUGGGUGACCUGAAAGCUGUGCUGUGGAAAAUUUCCACCCGUGAACGGAUGAUGACUCUCCACAGAUAGAGCCCUUCCUUCUGCUGACUUUCCAUCUCCUAUGUUCCCUAGCAGCCACCGGAGAUAAACUAUGGCAGUCACAGAGGCAUGCACGGUAGAGCGGCUGUGAGGCCAGCAUACGAGAAAGAGACCCCAGGCUGUAGGCUGAGGCCCUCCAGGGCUCUCACUCAUCCGGCCUGCUGUUCGUCCGGACAGUGGACACCUCUUUAAUCUGGACUAUAGCUUUGCUCCAAAUAAAGAGACUUUGCUUCUUUUGCA